rnacentral:lncRNA from 1 species
UCAGGAGCCCGCCUGGAGAAUGGAGGCUGAUUUAUUUUUAAGAAGUUGAAGAAGUCAGGAGCCCGCCUGGAGAAUGGAGGUGUUAAAAUUUAAAUUGUUAGAGUCAGGAGCCCGCCUGGAGAAUGGAGGCUGAUUUAUUUUUAAGAAGUUGUUGAAAUCAGGAGCCCUCCUGGAGAAUUGAGGCUGAUUUAUUUUUAAAAAGUUGUUAAAGUCAGGAACCCGCCUGGAGAAUGGAGGCUGAUUUAUUUUUAAGAAGUUGUCGAAGUCAGGAGCCCGCCUGUAGAACGGAGGUUGUAAAAUUUUAAGUUGUCAAAGUCAGGAGCCCGCCUGGAGAAUGGAGGUGUUAAAAUUUAAAUUGUUGAAGUCAGGAGCCCGCCUGUAGAACGGAGGUUUUUAAAUUUUAAGUUGGAGUCAGGAGCCCGCCUGGAGAAUGGAGGCUGAAUUAAAUUUUAAGAAGUUGAAGAAGUCAGGAGCCCGCCUGGAGAAUGGAGGCUGAAUUAAAUUUUAAGAAGUUGAAGAAGUCAGGAGCCCUCCUGGAGAAUGGAGGCUAAAUUAUUUUGAGAAAAGUUGUUGAAGUCAGGAGCCCGCCUGAGGAAUAGAGGCUUAUUUAUUUUAAGAAGUUGUCGAAGUCAGGAGCCCGCCUGGAGAACGGAGGCUAAAUUAUUUUUGGGAAAGUUGUAGAAGUCAGGAGCCCGCCUGGAGAACGGAGGCUAAAUUAUUUUGAGAAAAGUUGUUGAAGUCAGGAGCCCGCCUGGAGAAUAGAGGCUGAUUUAUUUUAAGAAGUUGUCGAAGUCAGGAGCCCGCCUGGAGAACGGAGGCUAAAUUAUUUUUAGGAAAUUUUUAGAAGUCAGGAGCCC